rnacentral:lncRNA from 1 species
GUUUAGAUUGUUCAUUCCAACUUAAAUAUCUAUGUGAUAUUUAAUGUAGGUACAUACGCAUUAAUUUUGAUCUUGUUUCAUUCUUCUCGUGAUGCAAGCCAUUGGUAUACUCUCUGGCUUUCGGAAGUCAAUAUCUGUUAAACAAUAAAUGUAAUGGACCUAUCCUAAUAGAAAUAGCAGUAAAAUUUUACCUCUCUAUGUUCAGGCAUGUUAUUAGUGUCAGAUUCAUGUCUGUUGAUUUGAUAUCGAUGCAUCACCCACAUUCAGAAUAAACUUUGUUAUUACAUUGACAAUCCCUUGUAGUCCAUAGUUAGGCACAAUAAUAAAUAUUUACUUUGUACAUGACUACAGAUGCUCCAAAAUACUGUUAUACAAGAUGCCAUGCAAUUUCAUAUAAGGCAUUUCUACGUCACCAUCUGUUAACAAUAUGUAUUAAUAACCUAUCCUAGGUUAUACAAACUUCAAACUCGCAUACCAGGUGGUAGUGGGUUGAAACUUACGCCAGAUCGAAGGUAUCUGUUAACAAUAUUUUAUUACGCACCCACCGACACAAUGUCGUAAAACUCUCCACUACUCUCCAGGCCGCAAACCUCAAGUCGUUUGCUACUAGUUUUACAUACACUCCACUCGUCAGAAACGUUCAAUUCGGGGAAUUUUGCCUCAGCACGAGGGAAUCUGUUAACAAUAUAAAUUAGGCUCCUAACCCUAGUGUCCCUAGCA